AUACGUAGAGUGCAAGCGUUGUCCGGAAUUAUUGGGCGUAAAGGGUACGCAGGCGGAUAAACAAGUCAAGCGUGAAAGGUGUCGGCUUAACCGACAGACUGCGUUUGAAACUGAUUAUCUUGAGUGUAACAGAGGAGAGUGGAAUUCCUAGUGUAGUGGUGAAAUACGUAGAUAUUAGGAAGAACACCAGUGGCGAAGGCGACUCUCUGGGUUAACACUGACGCUGAGGUACGAAAGCUGGGGGAGCGAACGGGAUUAGAUACCCCGGUAGUCCCAGCCGUAAACGAUGGAUACUAGGUGUUGGAGGUUCGAAUCCUUCAGUGCCGGAGUUAACGCAUUAAGUAUCCCGCCUGGGGAUUACGAUCGCAAGAUUGAA
rnacentral:rRNA from 1 species